GAUGAACGCUGGCGGCGUGCCUAAUACAUGCAAGUCGAGCGAACAGACGAGGAGCUUGCUCCUCUGACGUUAGCGGCGGACGGGUGAGUAACACGUGGAUAACCUACCUAUAAGACUGGGAUAACUUCGGGAAACCGGAGCUAAUACCGGAUAAUAUAUCGAACCGCAUGGUUCAAGAGUGCAAGACGCUUUUGCUGUCACUUAUAGACGGAUCCGCGCCGCAUUAGCUAGUUGGUAAGGUAACGGCUUACCAAGGCAACGAUGCGUAGCCGAUCUGAGAGGGUGAUCAGCCACACUGGAACUGAGACACGGUCCAGACUCCUACGGGAGGCAGCAGUAGGGAAUCUUGCGCAAUGGGCGAAAGCGUGACGGAGCAACGCCGCGUGAGUGAUGAAGGUCUUCGGAUCGUAAAACUCUGUUAUUGGGAAAGAACAAAAGUGUAAGUAACUAUGCACGUCUUGACGGUACCUAAUCAGAAAGCCACGGCUAACUACGUG
rnacentral:rRNA from 1 species